rnacentral:rRNA from 1 species
CCUAAAAACGGGGCAAGUCGAGCGCCGUAGCAACAGAGGAGCGGCAGACGGGAGAGUAACACGUGGGAACGUGCCCUUCAGUUCGGAACAACCCAGGGAAACUUGGGCUAACAGACGUAGGACGUCCGUAAGGAGAAAGAUUUAUCGCUGAAGGAUCGGCCCGCGUCUGAUUAGCUAGUUGGUGGAGUAAUGGCUCACCAAGGCGACGAUCAGUAGCUGGUCUGAGGAGAUGAUCAGCCUCACUGGGACUGAGACACGGCCCAGACUCCUACGGGGAGCAGCAGUGGGGAAACAUGGACAAUGGGCGCAAGCCUGAUCCAGCCAUGCCGCGUGGGUGAUGAAGGCCUUAGGGUUGUAAAGCCCUUUAGGCGGGGAAUAGGAAUGACGGUACCCGCAGAAGAAGCCCCGGCUAACUUCGUGCCAGCAGCCGCGGUAAUACGAAGGGGGCUAGCGUUGCUCGGAAUCACUGGGCGUAAAGCGCACGUAGGCGGCAAGGUAAGUCAGGGGUGAAACCCUGGAGCUCAACUCCAGAACUGCCCUUUAGGACUGAGAAGCUUGAGUCCGGGAGGAGUGAGUGGAACUGCGAGUGUAGGAGUGAAACUCGUAUAGGAUUCGCAAGAACACCAGUGGCGAAGGCGGCUCACUGGCCCGGUACUGACGCUGGAGUGCGAAAGCGUGGGGAGCAAACAGGAUUAUAG